GGGGUAGGUUGGGAUAAAUAAGGUCUUAAAAGGUAUGCUAUAAGUAAAAGUCUUUUUAUAAUCUCAAUAAACUAAAUCCCUUUUAAUCCAUAGCUAUCCAAAGGGAAGCAGCCAUAUUCUUACAUACUUACAUGGACCACCAUACCACAGCUUGCUUUCUCUGGCAUGGGAAAAAUAACUUUAAGCACCAAACUUUGAGUAUUCUUACUAUUCAAGUUUUAGACACAAUCACAUAAGCCAAUGGUGAAGCUAUGCUUUGCACUACUAAAGGAAUAUUAUCCUCAUUUUAGGACAUCCCUUUACACUUU
rnacentral:lncRNA from 1 species